GAAGAUAGUGGCCUGUUGAUUUUCUAGGAGAAGCUUGCUGCAGAUGGUUUCCCUGAUGUGAACUAGGCCAUUCUCGUUGGAGGAGGAGCUCGGGGAUGUGCUGUCCCUGGGAAUGGCUGCUGUUUUUGUCUCUGAUCUUGAUCAUUCCUGGCUCCAGUGUGGAUCCCUCAGCAUGGUAGCACAAAUCCUUCAUCUCACCAAGGUUCAGCAAGGAACCACCAAGUCCACUAGUCUGUGGGAGACUGUUUGAAGAUGAGAUGAUUAAUGAAAGAAAAGUAAUACUAAAAAUGAAGACAAAAAAGGCUCCCUCAGCUCUGUGAUUGCAACUCUUGAGUUUACCAAUCUGCCAGCUUCUGUUUGUGCCUGUCUCUCCAGCUGCACCAGGAAGAGGCUCUUUCUUAGUCAUCUUUGUGCCCUUCCAGCCUAAUGCAAGCCUGCUGCAUAGAAGUAAUAGGACCUGUACAUAAUUAAAGAAAAUGCUCAAGACUCAUCUGGAGCUGGUGGCAACCGUUCAAGUGUGGGCAGGAACUGCAGCAGUGGGGUGGGGAGGGGGUGGGAAGUGAAAAGACAGAGACAGAGACAGACAGACAGGGAAUAUUUGGAAGCUGCCCAGCCAAGAAUUGCUGCUGGUGGGAGACGAGUCUGAUAGGUGGCUGUAAAGCAAAAUACUGUCUGCUGUUCAGUGUAAAUGCCGUUCUAUAUCACCAUUUCAAAUGUGCCAGUAAAUUAUGUUGCUUCCCAGAGCUCCUAGGAAGUGGAGUUUUGCUUUGAAAAUACUCAGGGAAGGAUAGUUGACAUGCAAGUUAGAAACAAAGAAAUGCUUUUAAAAACAAUUAAUAUCAAAUCAUCUUUCCCCAUACCCAC
rnacentral:lncRNA from 1 species